GGGAAGAUGACCGAGUGGUCAAAUGCAGGUAUUCAACCUUCAAACAGCAAUCCUGGAUUCCGAAGUCCGAAAUGGCGUGGGUUCAAAUCCCACUCUUGUCA